GCUUACCGGCCCGCGGGCGGGUCGUACCUGUUCCGCGUUCCCGCCCGAAGCCGUUUUAAGUCGGACGCGCUAAUUACGGGAAACCUUAAGGAAGACGGCCAGAAAAUAUUCCCCGUUAAACACGAGAAAACUCCGUUCCGGUUCUGUCGAUCCGGCCCGAUGUGGCCAGUGGUAGUAGUACCGGUCUUCCUUCGGCCCCCGCGCUUCGGUUCGAAACGGCACAGACUUCUGCGAACUGCAACCCGGUGGCCGGCUAGACGGUUUCUCUGGUCUAAGUGGGCGGCCCCGGUUCCCAAUGGCACGCCGGUGGACUCGGGCCCAACCGACGGGAGGCGGCCGUUUUCCCCGAGGCCGCUUAGCCCGGUUAGUCGGAAGUGUUAAAAAGCCGAGGAGACGGCCGGGCCAAUUAUCCCGAGACGGGAAGAAAGGGUGGGUAGGUAAUUACGGCCAAACGGGUGAUAGGCGGCUUAACUCGCCGGUGGUCCCUUUACCUACGGAGGAUUUUCCGUCCCGCUGGCACUCCAUAGGUCGCCUACAGAAAUUAGUCGGCGCCUAAAAUUAUUUUCCAGUCACCUGGGGGGGCCAUCGGAACCCGUUUAGGCCGGUGUACCGGGAUAGGGCCCGGACCGGGCGGCCGAAUCGGCGUAAGCGGCGAGUAGCGGCUAAAAGGUGGUUACCGGUAUGGCGCGAUGGGGCCGGAGAAGGUCUGGUUUAGGAAGUAAGCCCGACCAUCGGCCUUUUAAAGUGGCGCGCCGGAAGAACUAGCGGAAAGGGCCCGGUUAAAACUGCCUUCUCGGGAUGGGGAGCGAGAUAGUCGGCGGUCUAGACAAAUUUCGACUGGCCGGAAAUUUCUACUCGUCUGGCCAGGCGCCCGCAGUAGGAGUGAAGGGCCCGUAGUAGAAGAAAAAUUGUCGCUAAAGACCUUUAGCCAGUUUUAAGAAUUUUUGGAUGCUUCGACUGAACGGUGGACUAAUUGUCGGCCAUAUAAUUUUGUAAACUCGAUGCUUUGUUUAUUUGUUUCGGUAAAGAAAUAAAUAAAAUUUUGUGGCGGCCACCGAAUAGGUUAAAGGUGGCCCGUCGUUCCUAGUCGGCCGUAUUCUCUUCCGGUAGCCGGGGCAGCGGUGCGGGCCUGUCGAAAGGAAAAUUCUCCGUAUCGACUACCGGGGGCCGGCGGCUUAAUUCCGACCGGUAAUUAAUUGGGCCCAGUUUCACCGUCCAAACCGCUAGGCGGACUCUUUUCCACCCGUCGGAAACGGUGGUCCGUCCGUCGCCCCUUCCGUCCCGGCCGGCGGCGGCCCCGCUUUGGCCGUCUUUGAACACCUGUCGGCCACCGGGCUGGAUGUGGAUACAGCUGUUUAAACCGUGUCCCGGCCGCUUCCGCCUAGGCCCGCUACACCUCUACUCCGAGAAAACUAAUAGCCGUUUUAAAGUAAUUUUUAAAAACUUUCUGCAGAAAAAGUUGGUAGUUAGCCCGAGUCGGGACCUAACUACCAGGAAAUGGCGGCUUAAUUUCCCGAGAGGAACGACCAUGCGGGUACCGGCCGUUUACCCGCACCGCCACUACCCACCCGGGUCUACCUUCGACCCGUAUUAAUUAAAGGGCUAGGCCCGGCCGUGGAUUGGCAGAAAACGGCGCCAUUUUCUUCCGGUUCCCCGCAAUUUUUAUGGCCGACGGCGGAAGGAUCCGCUCGGAACCGAGACGGCCGGCCGGCUAUGGGCUCCGCUAAUUCCGUCCCCCGGUGUAGCUCCGCGCCGAUUUUUGCGGGCCCUUCGCGCCUGUACGGUGGAUCGGACAGCCGACUUCGGCCGUCGGAAAGUCGGCGGGAAAACCGAUUCGGCCUCGUCAGUUUGGGGUCGACCGUCCGGUUGGUAAUUCUCGGAAACGGAAACCGGUUUGGCCCCCCGACCGGUCUGGACCACCUGGCCGGUUUUCUAGGAACCGACGCCGGUGGCGGCCUUUAGAAAGUGUUCCGCGUAAAUACGGUAGGACGCCGUCCCGAGCUAAGUACUUUCGGAUUCCAUCUAGGCCUUAACCGUCGGUGUAGAGGCGCCGCGCGGUAGCUGGGGGCGUCGGCGGUAAACAAUGGCCAAGCGGCGAAAAAGUUAGGAACCUUCGGUGACGGCGCCGCCUUCUUAACACCAAAUCGGUGCAGAAAUAUUUCUCGAUCCUCCGACUUUCUGCAAUAUUCUCUUUGGGUUUUAGGCGGACGGAAGACGGCUCUCCUUCUCCUUGCCCGAUAUUUUUCGUUCGGGAUGAGUUUUGUUUUCCGGAGUGGUGGUGUUUCCACCCGGCCUACCGCCAGAUAUUUUACUUGCAAAUGGUUUUUAGCGCUCGCGCCGUUUUCCUUAGUAGCCCCGUACUGCCGUACCACCCGAUUUUUACACCGCCGUUAUAGCCGAUGGCUUUAAAGUGUUUUUAGUAAAGACUAAGGCUGUUGGGUCUGCUGUAAAAAUCCUUUUCCCCUAAGAGCCGGCUUUUUAAACGUCUGGUUUUCCGACCGAAUAGAAUUAACCCGCCCCCGUCCACUAGCCGGAAACGGUAUUUACUUAACCCGGUUAACUCUUUUCGACUGGAUAGUCGGGCGACUACGCUCCUUUUCCGACACCGCGCUUUUUCCGUCCAUAAGUAAAACCGAUAACGAAUUUAAUAAAAGGGCGGUAAAUCGGACAGACACGGAAGUUUAUUGGCUGGGCGGGACCUUUGGACGGCUUCGGGUCCAAUCGAAGAAAUUUAGGAGCGUAUUAUUAAAUACCGCGUAUGCAUUACCAGCCACGGUUUCCGUUAAUACCGUAACCGACUAAACUGGGUAGGUCCAAAUUCUGACGUUCCACCUCCGUACUCGAAAAUCUUUUCCCGACUACCGCGCCACCCGCCUAGGCCAAACCCGGCCACCGGUUACUCUCCCUUAAUCCGGGCCGUUAACUUAAUCCGGUAACAACGCCGCAAUUAUUCCCGUUACUGUAUUCCCCGGUGUGUGGGGUUGACUUCCGUCCCGAUUAAUUCGACUAGCGCGAAAGCGGUAUAAAGGACUUUCGGAAGACAACCGAGCGGUUCGACGCCCGCUCCUAUUAAAAAAAGGAUCGAACAAUUUGCGCUAAAACAGACGUUUUAACCAAACCCCCCGGUUACCGUCGGUCUGUCUAGAAAUGGCGCGGCUGGCUUAUGGGUCGACGCGUUAUCUUCUCGACCAGCCGGGGGCGCUCGGCGCGUGACAGGACCGAGACCACCGUCGGUCUGGGCUUUUCUACCACCCGGGUCGUCUCGGUUUCUGGUAAUCGUUUCUUAUCGAUAAACUAUCGGGGAAAACUUUAAACUUUUUUCGGGUGGGUUUUUCGAAAUUCGAAAGCUGUUGGGUAACGCGGUUUCGAAACCUAGCUGGUAUCGACGCCGAGAGACAAAAAAAAAUGACUUUAUUGUUCGAAUUCAGGUUGGAUACGGGUGGACUGUCGACUCUUAAAUUUAACCGGCGUUAACGUAAGGAUAUUAUCGUUAAUCGAGGGAACGUCACGCUGUUAGGGAAAUAGACUGGCCAUCGUAAAUAACGUAGGGUGGCCUCGGCCGUUUUUUUACCACGCUAGGUGGCGCGGUAGAAAACGAUUAGAAUUUCGUAUUUCUACCAUUCGAUAUUUUUAUAAAAUGUAAAAAUUUCGACACAAUCGUUCGAAAAAUAAGAUGGCCGCGCAAAAAUAUUCGGAAAUACUUUCGUUAUAAAACGCUAGACGCGUAUCCGGUGGUUCCUAAAGUCCGAGUUAAAGAAUGGCCGUAAUUUCUAUUUUCGACCAUUCGGCACAUUUUUUAUCUUUUAAGUAAAAUCGGAAUAAAAAAAAAUUGCGAGUAGGAGAGAGGGUCUUCCCUUUGGCCGGGUGUGACCAAACCCGGGGAGGGACGGACCAAAAAGUAUUGGAAAUAACCCGGGUAGUCGACGGACCGUGCCUAAUACGACGAUAAAUAGGCUGGAUGUAUAAAUGUGGGCUAAAAUUAUACUUCCGCACCGACUUUUUCCCGUCCCGGACGGCUCGAGUAGGAAGCGUCGGUACAGCGCGUCGGGGGGAAAGUGUAACGGACGGGCCACCGUCACCGAAGUAGAGGAAAGGAACGGUACCAACCAGCCGCCGACGCCGUAAAAAAGACUAAACUCCGGUUUUCCGUUCGACCAUCGACCGUUAAACGCUAACUGGUAGUGGUGAUCGAAUUCCAGCAAUAAGUUAACAGCUACUUCCGGUACCGGUGGCGCCUUCUUCGGACCACUUAAACGGAACGGAAAAAUAAAGCUUGUGUUCGAAAUUAAUUUCUUUUUAUUCGUUUAAAUCGAAUUAGGAUUCUUUUAAAGUAUCGGUUAGAAAGGUAGGGCCCCGGCCUAACGGUCCGGUUAGGGCUUUAUACGCCCGCCCAGUCGAAAGACGAUGUACCAAACAGCGACGCUGACACCGUGUCCGUUCGAAUCGGAACCGUUUCCCAGAAGUACGGUCUCGGGUUUACCGUUUACGCGCUAUUCUUUCCAGACCGGUCUAUUUGGUUAGAGAGUUUCCGGCCAGCUACCACUCCGUAACUAAACCAGAAAAUCCUACUGGUUUAGGAAAGCUAGGGCUUGGGCCUCGGGCCAGUCCAGAUUAGUCGGAACCAGACGCUGUUCUGGCAAAUUAUUUCUUUGUACGGCUAAUCGAGAAAAUCUGCUAUAUUAAACCGCUGACGGCCAAUUUUAAUAUUCCGGACGUACCAAACCGUAAAAGACUGU
rnacentral:lncRNA from 1 species